AAGUAAAUACAUGGCAGAGAGUCGUUUCUAACAAAAACUAACAAUUGUUAUUGCUGUCUAAGCUUCAAAAGGGUAAUUUUAAAAUGGGAAGUUAAAGAACAAUUGGAGGAUGACGAUGUGAGCACUAAAGCA
rnacentral:sRNA from 10 species